rnacentral:lncRNA from 1 species
CGCUGAUGCGCCUCACGCGCGCUUUUCUCCUUUCGUAUUCCGCCGUUGCAGGGACGCUGCCGCGGAGUAAUGGGGUGCUUACGAAGCGGGGGUGUGGCGUUUUCUCAGCCGGGUCAUAGUUAGGUGCGUGAAAUUCCUCAGAAAAGCCGUGGUUCAUUCUCAUCGUUCUGUAGAAGGGAAUAUUGUGUGGAAAGUAGGCCAGAUAGGGUCAGAACAGGUUGGAGGGACUAAGGCACAGGAACGUGCAGAAAGUAACUGCAGGCAAGUCGGGGUGCGUUGCCUCGGGCCUGGCGCUUCAGAGUGCGACUGACCUCAGUCAGUCCACGCAGUACUCACUCUAGCAGAAGACCCAGAAAGCCGUCUCCUGGAAAACUGGGACACGACACCCAAGCGCUUUCCCGAAGCUUCUCACCACAGAGACGUGAAUUCGGCCCACUUGAAUGUGUUGUUCCUGUUGCCCUUACAGACAUCAAGCAAGGACAGGAGCUUUUUUCAAACUAUGACAUGGUUAUCAGCUAAUGUGAUGAAUUAAAAACUUAAGGUUUACUAAGCAGCUAUUGUGUUCAUUCUAAAUUCGUGGUUGUUGUUUGUUUGUCACUUUUGUAGUUCCACCUGCAGGGCAAAAGUUCUUAGACUUAACUGGACUUUUUGUAUUUGUUGAUGUUAUAG